UUUAAUAAAUCUUUCCAUUACAGAGUAAGAAAUUGCAAAAUAGUCAAACAAAUUAGCAGUGGGGGCACCAAGAGAGCACAUCCAUCCCUGAUUCAGAGAUGUCUUCGUUUAUCAGUUUUCUGUCAAUCAGUAAAACAAGAAAGAUGAAACAUGCAAUUAUAUACAAGGAGACAGGACUCCUAAUUCUUUCACCCGAGCUGAAGCAGAAGAGUUUUAAUUGCUUUGAAAAAUGAGAUUUUUGUUUUCUCUCAAGAGGGACGGAGAAAACAAAUGUAAAUUGCCUUAGAGUCGAUGGCUGGAGCUGCAGGACUUGACUAUGCAAAGCAGAGGUGGGAAGGCCAGUCCAUCAUCUGUCCUCUGUCUUCACAAUGGCCAAUGUCCAGAUAUUUGGAAAUACGAGAUGGUUGACAACGUUCCCUCUUCUGCUGCAGCUCCUUCAGCACACAAUCAGCAGGUCAUUAGCGUAUCGUUCAAAUCGCCCCGAACUCAGGAUGGAACCCCAGGGACCUGAAGGCAGAAUAGACUGAAGAGAAGAUGUGGUGUUGCUGACAGUUACCUCUGAUGGCAGUUAAAAAGGCUUCUUAAAGAAACAAGGAUAUCCUUCUAGAACAAUGGUCACACAAAAAAGCAAAAUGAGGAAAGUCAAGGACCAUGCCUA